GGAAAAGUUUCAGUGCAUUCCGUUGAUGUAGACGGCGUGAAAACGUAAACAACAAGUAUGCCGGCUCACUGUGCUGCAUACAGUUACACACUACGUCGUACGAUUGAGACAAGGAAACUUGGAAUGACUUUUCAUAGGUUUCCCAGAGACUAUGGGUUGAGGAGGAAUUGGAAGUUUGUCGGCUUAGACCUGGUGUCAUUCCAUCAGUGUUAAACUUCCCGGCUCAUCUUGGAAGAGUACGUGCCAGAAAGACCACGACCAAGCAGCCUUGAGAUCUUAGACAGCGUCUCCCUGAGGUCCCUCUCUAUCUCCCCACACAUCCACCAACCACUGGAACACAUCUCCAAAGUUCUGCUGGACCAGCUCAGCUUCCCCUCAGAAGAAGUGGUGCCACCUGCCAGAUGAAGGAGCCUUUUGAGAGGCAGCUGGCAUCGUGAUUGGACUGUACUUUGGUCUGUUCCAAUCCAGCUUCAGCUCCAGAGACGGCAGGCGGGACGAGUCAACGGAGGCCGGAUGGACGAAGGUAUGCAG
ensembl:lncRNA